AGCCCUAUAGUUUAGAUGGCCUAGAACGCUCCGUUCUCAACGGGGAAACUCCGGUUCGAAUCCGGCUAGGGCUGCCA
rnacentral:tRNA from 2 species